rnacentral:ncRNA from 1 species
AAAAUUACCUUAGGGAUAACAGCAUAAUUUUUUUUGAGAGUUCUUAUUGAAAAAAAAGUUUAUGACCUCGAUGUUGAAUUAAGAAAAUAAAUUAUUGGAGAGAAUAAUUUUAUAAGUCUGUUCGACUUUUAAUUUCUUACAUGAUUUGAGUUUAAAUCGGUGUAAGCCAGAUUGGAUUCUAUC